GAUCAAGCGACUAAGUGCACAUGGUGGAUGCCUUGGCGAUCACAGGCGAUGAAGGACGUAGUAGCCUGCGAAAAGCUACGGGGAGCUGGCAAACAAGCUUUGAUC
rnacentral:ncRNA from 1 species